GGCAGGGCCCGGACCUCUCUUCUCAACCCCUCCUCUCAACUGAGGGGGCCGCUGUGGCGGCUAUGGCAUCCAUCUUGUGAUCAUGAGGCAAAGGCCAAGAGACACAUGGAGACAUGGAUCCAGCAACCAGGCGUUACUGAGAAACUAAACUGACCCCAGAUUCCACCUACCUUCAAGCUUCUUGUUAUAUGAGCCCCAAAGUCAACCUGGCAUCCUGUCGACAGAGCACCUGGCACGUACUGGGUUGCUCCUCUUCUCUUUUCCUUUUGGAGUGCAUGAAGGGGUUAACAGUGGCCAUGCCAUGAGGCUGUUUCUGUCUCCAGUGGGAGCAAGACGUACCACCCCGUAACCAAAAGAAUUACACAUAUGAGCGAUAUCAUAUGGCAUUUUUCCUUCUCUUUCUGGCUUGCUUCACAUAAAAUGAUGAUCUCCAGGUCCAUCCAUGUUGCUGCAAAUGAUGUAAUGCCUGGAGCCGCAGCAGCCGCAUUAAAAUCAUAAGGUUGGACAAGCAUGAGGACAAAAAGCCAGCAUAGUGAGGAUGGCAGAAAGGCAGGACAGAAAGAAACUGGAUCCUUGAGAGAACCAUUUGAGCAGCUAAAUCAACAUCACCAACCCCCCACCUCUAACUUCUUGUCUGGGGGGAAAAGCA